rnacentral:rRNA from 1 species
GGACUGAGACACGGCCCAGACUCCUACAGGAGGCAGCAGUGGGGAAUUUUCCGCAAUGGGCGAAAGCCUGACGGAGCAAUACCGCGUGAGGGAGGAAGGCUCUUGGGUCGUAAACCUCUUUUCUCAGGGAGGAAAAAAAUGACGGUACCUGAGGAAUAAGCAUCGGCUAACUCCGUGCCAGCAGCCGCGGUAAUACGGAGGAUGCAAGCGUUAUCCGGAAUGAUUGGGCGUAAAGGGUCCGCAGGUGGAACUGAAAGUCUGCUGUUAAAGAAUCUGGCUCAACCAGAUAAAAGCAGUGGAAACUACAGAACUAGAGUACGUUCGGGGCAGAAGGAAUUCCUAGUGUAGCGGUGAAAUGCGUAGAUAUUAGGAAGAACACCGGUGGCGAAAGCGUUCUGCUAGGCCGUAACUGACACUGAGGGACGAAAGCUAGGGGAGCGAAUGGGAUUAGAUACCCCAGUAGUCCUAGCUGUAAACGAUGGAUACUAGGCGUGGCUUGUAUCGACCCGAGCCGUGCCGUAGCUAACGCGUUAAGUAUCCCGCCUGGGGAGUACGCACGCAAGUGUGAAACUCAAAGGAAUUGACGGGGGCCCGCACAAGCGGUGGAGUAUGUGGUUUAAUUCGAUGCAACGCGAAGAACCUUACCAAGGCUUGACAUCCUGCGAAUCUUUCUGAAAGGAGAGAGUGCCUUCGGGAGCGCAGAGACAGGUGGUGCAUGGCUGUCGUCAGCUCGUGUCGUGAGAUGUUGGGUUAAGUCCCGCAACGAGCGCAACCCUCGUUUUUAGUUGCCAGCAUUAAGUUGGGCACUCUAGAGAGACUGCCGGUGACAAACCGGAGGAAGGUGAGGAUGACGUUAAGUCAGCAUGCCCCUUACGCCUUGGGCUACACACGUACUACAAUGCUACGGACAAAGGGCAGCUACACAGCGAUGUGAUGCAAAUCUCAUAAACCGUAGCUCAGUUCAGAUCGAAGGCUGCAACUCGCCUUCGUGAAGGAGGAAUCGCUAGUAAUUGCAGGUCAGCAUACUGCAGUGAAUUCGUUCCCGGGCCUUGUACACACCGCCCGUCACACCAUGGAAGUUGGUCACGCCCGAAGUCAUUACCCCCAACCGAAAGGAGGGGGAUGCCGAAGGUAGGACUGGUGACUGGGGUGAAGUCGGAACAAGGUAGCCGUACCGGAAGGUGUGGCUG